rnacentral:lncRNA from 1 species
UCGGAGGAAAUAUGCACUUUCUCUUUUGAGAACUGUUUUUUUAUAUGCCAGAAGAGAUGAAGAGAUGAAGUAUUAAUUGGUAUGACCAGGGUUUAUUGGUUCAUUUUUUCGCUGUUAGAAUUUGGGCUUCUACUAUUCUAGCUAUGGCUUAGUUUGGCCAGUUUCUUUCAUUGCAGUUCACCUAUACGAGUAACGCGAUGCUGGUAUGAAGCAGACGUCAAAGAGUGACGAUAAAAGCAACCUCCUUUGUUUUGGGCGUUGCAUUAAUACAACAGGGAGCUACAACUGUACAUGUUGGCCAGGAUACAUCGGUGAUGCAAAAACACCAGAUGCUUGUCGACCAAUCUCUAAUGGUUCAAAAUUUCUAGUCAUGGUAUUCACAUUAGCUGCGUGGUUCUUUAUUAACAACAUCGGCCAUCGGCCAUGUUAAAACUUAAUUACUUAGUAAAUGGUCCAAUAUAGUUAGUGUUGUGCCUAUAUAUGUAUGUGUGUGUGACGUGACUUACGCCUAGCAGUAUCUAAAUGGAAAGAUUUUUAGUUUUUCAUGU